ACGAAAGUUUAACGACCUGCGCUCUGCAGGGGGGACGGGGUGGGGUGGUGACAGGGGAAGCGUCCGCCAGUCUCCCUCGUGUACAUCCUGCCGCUGUGGCUGAUUCCAAGCUCUUAACAUGAUGCCCCUCCACGCGGAGCUGAACAGAGACCGGCUCUCAGGGACUGGCGCGUUUUGCUUCCAGCACGCGAACCCGAGUCGUGAGUAAAUUCGCGAGUAGUCCGUCCUGGGCGCCUGGGAGACACUUGCGCACGCCUGGUGACCCAGUGUGUGUGAUGGGAGAGCUGCUCAGGCCAGAGGGUCAGACUGAAAGAAGAACUUCCUGCCAAGUGCCUAGGGAGACGCUGAGCCCAAGAAGUGGGGGGUCAGAGCCCCCUCCGGACUCCUCUCCAGACACCAGAACUUUCUGCCGCUGCAGACUUUUCAAGAGUAACCGCUUCACCUGCCGGGGGCUCUCAGACGUGGAACAGAAGCCACUGGAUGGACAAAUCACCCCGUGCUGCCCAGGCCUAAGAAUCUGGGAUUUCUACUGAGUCGAGGAAGGCGGUGCUCACAUACUCCGGCUCAGAUAGGUUGCCGGGUGCCCCAAAUUCUACCAUCAGAGCUCCAGCCAGGAUGAGCUUGCAGUCCAGGUGAAUGCUUGAAAAAAACUUUUUUAAGUUUAUUUGUUUACUUAGAGAGAGGAAGCUGGGUAAGGGCAGAGAGAGAGAGAGAGAGAGAGAGAGAGAGAAUCCCAAGCAGGCCCCGCACUGUCAGUGCAGAGACGGAUGUGGGGCUCGAACCCACAAACCGUGAGAUCGUGGCCUGAGCCUAAAUCAAGAGUCAGACGCUUAACUGACUGAGCCACCCAGGUGCCCCUGAGUGCUGUAAAAUAUAGCAUAUUGGGGCACCUGGGUGGCCCUGUCGGCUAAGCGUCCACCUUCGGCUCAGGUCACGAUCUCACGGUCCGUGAGUUCAAGCCCCGCAUCAAGGUCUGUGCUGACAGCUCAGAGCCUGGAGCCUGCUUCGGAUUCUGCGUCUCCCUCUCUCUGUCCCUCCGCUGCUGACAUUCUGUCUCUCUCUCUCUCUCUCUCUCUCUCUCAAAAAUAAACAUUAAAAACAUUGAACA
rnacentral:lncRNA from 1 species